GCAACCUGAUGCUGGCGCGCGAGAACCGCACGGUCUUCCUCAGCCUGCUUGGCAUUUCGUGGCUGUGGUUUCUCGGCGCGACGUUCCUGACGUCGUUCUUCAGCUUUGCCAAGGACGUGCUU
rfam:Ralstonia eutropha JMP134 chromosome 1, complete sequence.